UUUUUUUUUAUUUUGUAUAUAAAUAUUCCAAAAUCAUUUAAAGUCUUAAACAUGUCAACUUGCAUAAGAUUGAUUUCUGUCUGAGCCAGGUUAUAAGGGGUCCAUAAUCUUUUUUUAAACAAAUACAAUAUCUCUAUAUAAAGAUAAGGAGAUGAGGUAUGUUGACUAAUGAGACUACUGGGACAGCUAUUCACCAGUUAUAAUGAGGUAUAGGUAAUAAUAUAUCACUAUAAAGUAUGUAGCAAUUAGAAAAACCCAUACAGUCCGAGUACACAGUUAUCAUCUUUUGAUUUUCGUUGUCCACAAAUAUAGUCCCUUGUGUGGACAGUGUGUUACUUGCCAAUUUUUUUAAAACCCCAUCAAAUUUAUUUCUUCAUGUUUUAUGCCUCUAUUUAAAUAGCCAGUAGGGGAAUGGAAUUACACUGCAAAAAAUUUGGGUCAUGAAUUUGAAAGUUAAGUAGUGAUUUGGUCCAGCUAAGAAAGGUGAAAAAUUAGCUUUUCAGAAGCUGUCAAAAAGAUUUCAAGACCCC
rnacentral:lncRNA from 1 species